ACGGGGGGUGCAAGCGUUGUUCGGAAUUAUUGGGCGUAAAGCGCGCGCAGGCGGCUUGGCAAGUCAGAUGUGAAAUCCCUGGGCUUAACCCAGGAAGUGCAUUGGAAACUGCGUGGCUAGAGUACGGGAGAGGAAAGUGGAAUUCCUGGUGUAGAGGUGAAAUUCGUAGAGAUCGGGAGGAACACCAGUGGCGAAGGCGACUAUCUGGACGGAUACUGACGCUGAGGCGCGAAAGCGUGGGGAGCAAACAG
rnacentral:rRNA from 1 species